GUUUAUAAUAUUUUUUUAUUUUCAACUCAGUAAUUAUUGACAGUGAGGAUGAAAAACCCUCUCCCCAACUUGGCCCUACACUGUCACAGGCGGUGGCGGAGGAGGAGGACCAGGACUCUACCUCUAUGUCCAUCACCUCACUGCACCCAUUAAGCCCUACACUGGAACAGGCCACGGAGGAGGAGGAGGAGGAUGAUGAUGAUGCUGCUGCAUUUAGUGACGACGAGCCAGAAUACAUUUUUG